rnacentral:rRNA from 1 species
UAAGACCUGCGCUUUUGGAGCGGCCGAUGUCUGAUUAGCUUGUUGGUAAGGUAAAAGCUUACCAAGGCUUCGAUCAGUAGCUGGUCUGAGAGGACGGCCAGCCACACUGGGACUGAGACACGGCCCAGACUCCUACGGGAGGCAGCAGUGGGGAAUUUUGGACAAUGGGGGCAACCCUGAUCCAGCCAUGCCGCGUGAGUGAAGAAGGCCUUCGGGUUGUAAAGCUCUUUCAGCCGGAACGAAACGGUUACGGUUAAUACCCGUGACUACCGACGGUACCGGAAGAAGAAGCACCGGCUAACUACGUGCCAGCAGCCGCGGUAAUACGUAGGGUGCAAGCGUUAAUCGGAAUUACUGGGCGUAAAGCGUGCGCAGGUGGUUUUGUAAGUCAGAUGUGAAAUCCCCGGGCUUAACCUGGGAACU